CGCACGGGCCACCAAAGAAAAUUGUGAAGUUCACAGGCGCCCGGAAGCUCGCCGACCUUCACGAAAGUGUGCGGAUGGGUGGGUUCGCGCACCGGAUGACAUGCAACGAUCUCCUAAUACAGCAUGCUGGAAGCUGCACAGGGGAGUUGGCAAGGGGGCACAAGGAAGCAAUGCCCCGUUGCUGUCCGUAGGGUGAACGCAAGGCGGCUCGUGGCGGCCGCAAUUUCUAUGCUGCGCUUUUCAUCUCUGAAGCCAUGCGCAGCAGCGUGCAGUCGUCAUGUUCAGAAAAGCAGUGCAAAGGUACCCGAAUAAGCUGUACAACAUUGCUGCAAGGUGCCUUGGUAAACCAGUACCCAGCCCUGAGGAACAGAUUGGACUCUGGCUAUAUGCAAAAGGCGUGAGCGCCAUCAUGGUUCUACCAUUUCUUGUGAAUGAGCGAGGGGA
rnacentral:lncRNA from 1 species